GUAAAUGGAGACAAAUAAAAUAGUUUAACAUACUGUAAUUCAUCACCUUUCAACUCAUUUCAACCAAAUAAAAUCAAUUCAUAUAAAUCGAGUAAUCAACAUGGCUUAUGAAUUUCUUAAAACUUUGGCUCAUGCCAAAAUCAUUCUCAUACUCAGUUAUCAGGGAUACCUUGGUUGAGGGCUAUCCCAACCGAGUCCGCCAAGGCUGUUA
rnacentral:lncRNA from 1 species